rnacentral:rRNA from 1 species
AACGAACGCUGGCGGCAGGCCUAACACAUGCAAGUCGAGCGAAGCCUUCGGGCUUAGCGGCGGACGGGUGAGUAACGCGUGGGAACGUGCCCUUUGGUACGGAAUAGCCCCGGGAAACUGGGAGUAAUACCGUAUGUGGUCGAGAGACGAAAGAUUUAUCGCCAAAGGAUCGGCCCGCGUUGGAUUAGGUAGUUGGUGGGGUAAUGGCCUACCAAGCCGACGAUCCAUAGCUGGUUUGAGAGGAUGAUCAGCCACACUGGGACUGAGACACGGCCCAGACUCCUACGGGAGGCAGCAGUGGGGAAUCUUAGACAAUGGGGGAAACCCUGAUCUAGCCAUGCCGCGUGAUCGAUGAAGGCCUUAGGGUUGUAAAGAUCUUUCAGUGGGGAAGAUAAUGACUGUACCCACAGAAGAAGCCCCGGCUAACUCCGUGCCAGCCGCCGCAGUAAUAC